rnacentral:rRNA from 1 species
GAUGAACGCUGGCGGCGUGCCUAAUACAUGCAAGUCGAGCGAACAGACGAGGAGCUUGCUCCUCUGACGUUAGCGGCGGACGGGUGAGUAACACGUGGAUAACCUACCUAUAAGACUGGGAUAACUUCGGGAAACCGGAGCUAAUACCGGAUAAUAUAUUGAACCGCAUGGUUCAAUAGUUAAAGACGGUUUUGCUGUCACUGAUAGAUUGAUCCGCGCCGCAUUAUCUAGUUGGUAAGGUAACGGCUUACCAAGGCAACGAUGCGUAGCCGACCUGGGAGGGUCUUCGGCCACCCUGCAACUGAUACUCGCUCCAGACUCCUGCGGGAGGCCGCAGUCGGGACUCUUCCGCCAUGCGCGAGAGCCUGACGGUGCACCGCCGCGUGAGUGCUGAAGGUGUGCUUAUCGUACCACUAUGUUAUUAGGGAAGAACAACUGUGUAAGUCACUCUGCACGUCUUGACGUUACCUAAUCAGACAGCCACGGCUAACUCCGUG